rnacentral:ncRNA from 1 species
GCACGACCCCACGGGCGCCCGAGGCAUCGGGCUGAGAUCGCGCUGCACUCCGCGCGAGCACCGUCCGAACCUGUCCGGCUAGCACCGGCGAAGGAAGAGAGGCCAGACGAUGC